rnacentral:lncRNA from 1 species
GCCACUAAGUCUAUGGUAUUCUGUGCUAGCAGCCUGAAAUGGACUAAGACAUCCCAUAAGCAGAGGAGAUGAAGAUUCAGACGCACACAGAGGGACGACCCUGUGAGAACACAGGGAGAAGACAGUGUCUACAACCCCAGGAGAGACGCCUCAGGAGGAACCAGCCCUGCCCACACCUUGAUCUCAGAUUUCUAGCCUCCAGGACUGUGGGAAAUAAGUAUAUAUUGUUUAAGUCACCCAGUCUGUGGUGAUUUGUUAUGGAGGCUUUAGCCAAGUAAUAUACUCCUCAAAACCCUAUUUCUAUUGGGAGAUUUCUAUUGGAAGGAAGAUUCAGAGUGCAAAUUUGUAGUAUCCCUGCUGAUCUAUCUCCUAAAUGAAACACAUCAUUCCCAAGCACUUGUCUUUGUGCGAAGAUCCAUUUUGCAACCAACCAUAUAUAAUGUGUGAGGCCUUUUCACAAGACUGGCUUAAUUAAAAAUUCACAUCCUCCUGACAUCUUAAAUAUAAGAGCAGUAAGAUAUGCAGCUUUAACAGUUUGUAGUGGCUGGGAUUUUGAGGAGGGAUGUUUUGUCGUUAGCUUGGGAAAAUAGGUUCUACUGACAUCUGUUCAGCUUAGCUAUUAUUGUUCUUUUUUGUUACAGAAGUAAAACGGGGAAUUUUUUAGAAACACGUCAAUUACCUUUGAUUUUGUGUCAUAUACAGAAGGGAAUGUUUUUAUUCCUGCAAACCCCAUAAAAGCCAGUGAUGCAUUUUCAUAGCCCUCUCUUGGCAGAAAACUGCCUUUGAAAUUUCUGGAUCAAGAACGUAUUAUUUUCUGAUGGCUUUUUUUUUUUUUUUUUCUGGUGAUGUAUCUCAAAAGCUUCAACUUUUCCCCUCCUGUUAGCAGAAUACAGAAUUUUGAAGGUCCCUGAUAAGACAUCUUUGAGGUCAGGCAUAAAUCAUCACUUCACAUCUUGACGGCAAUGCAACGAAGACAAGUAUCUGUCUCUUUGGGUCUGUCUAACAAGGAGCAAAGCCUGGCCUCCCACCAGCAUCCAGACAAUAGUGGAUUCCCUCUCCAUAGAUGUCAAAAAAGAAACAGAUGCUCCCGCAGGUGAAAUGAGCUCUGGUCCACAAUGCAACGCAGGCUGUGCAGAAAAUCAAAGAGGAACCAACCCAGAAGUAUCCCCCAGGACAAAUCAUUAAGGGGGAAAAGGUCUCUGCAAAUGUAAUGAGUCCAGACACCAAGGGAAACGGAGAAGAUAAGAAGCAGAGAUUGAGGUAAUGCGUCCACCAGCCAAGGAGCACCAAGACGUGCUGGCGACCACCAGAUGCUAGCGGGGAGACCUGGAACAGAUUCUCCCUCAAAGCCUCCAGAAGUAAACCAACUCUGUAGACACCUUCAUUUCAGACUUCUGGUCUCCAGAGCUGUGAGAGAAUCCAUUUCUGUUCAUUGCAGCCACUUUUUUCUUUUCUUCCUUCUUUCUUUUCUUUUUUCUUUC